rnacentral:lncRNA from 1 species
GAGAGCCGGCGCUGGCUGCUCCCACGCCUGUCCCCCUCUGGGAGGCAGCCCUGUCCCAGCCGCCCUUCGGCCCCCUGCAGAUCUCAGCCCCUCUCCCCACCUCCCACCCAACGUCCACACCUCCUUUCUCCUGGACUCUGCCUCCUCCCCCUCCCCUUAGCCUCUGACCCUUGACCUCUGCGCAGCGCCGCAGGUUUCGGGGGCACGUGGGCGAGCUCCCCAGUCCCGGCCCCUGAGGCUGUGGGACCCCAGCGCGCCGGGAGCGGUCAGGACUGCUGUGACCCCGAGAUGGGAGGCUGUGCCAGGCAGCCCCAGGAGAGGGCGCCCUGCUCCCCGCGGGCGAGGCCGGCCCGGGCCCCGGUGGCAGCUUCCUGCUUCCCGGAGGGCCUGGGCGAUGGGAGCCGCGCCAGCCUGCCCAGAUAUAACCAAGCCAUCGAACGUCAGCUGGUCAAGAGUGAACUGGAUGGAUAAGAAGCGGAUGUGGCUCAAGCGACUGAGCUCCCGUCUACCACACGGGAGGUCCAGAGUUCGAUUCCUGGGGCCUCCUGGUGAAGGCAAGCUGUCCUGCGCAGGAGUGCUGACUGGGGCAGAGAGCUGGCACAGCAAGAUGAUGCAACAAAAAGAGACACAGAGGAAGAGACGCAGCAGACCAGGGAGCUGAGGUGCUGCAAGAGAUUGUUCACCUCUCUCCCACUCCAGAAGGUCCCAGGAUCAGUUCCUGGUGCCACCUAAAGAGAAGACAAGCAGACACGGAAGAACAUGCACAGCGAGUGACACAGAGAGCAGACAGCGAGCACAAAAACAACAAGGAGGGUGGGGAGAAAUAAAUGAAUAAAUCUUUAAUUUUAAAA